rnacentral:misc_RNA from 1 species
GAAAUGCGAUACUUGGUGUGAAUUGCAGAAUCCCGUGAACCAUCGAGUCUUUGAACGCACAUUGCGCUCUCUGGUAUUCCGGAGAGCAUGCUUGUUUGAGUAUCAGUAAACACCUCAACUCCUUUAUUGUAGUUGGACUUGAGCUAUCCCAACAGGACUUUUUGUUCCUGGCGGGAGGCUUGAAAUGCAGGUGCAGCUGGACUUUCUUCUGAGCUAUAAGCAUAUUUAUUUAGUCCCGUCAAACGGAUUAUUACUUUUGCUGCAGCUAAUAUAAAGGGAGUUUGACCGUAUUGGCUGACUGAUGCAGGAUUUCACAAGGGUCGGCAACGAUUCUUGUAAAACUCGAUCUCAAAUCAAGUAAGACUACCCGCUGAACUUAA